rnacentral:rRNA from 1 species
UACAGAGGGUGCAAGCGUUAAUCGGAAUUACUGGGCGUAAAGCGUGCGUAGACGGUUAUGUAAGUCAGGUGUGAAAGCCCCGGGCUCAACCUGGGAAUGGCAUUUGAGACUGCAUAGCUAGGGUGCGGAAGAGGGAAGCGGAAUUUCCGGUGUAGCGGUGAAAUGUGUAGAUAUCGGAAGGAACAUCAGUGGCGAAAGCGGCUUCCUGGUCCAGCACCGACGUUCAGGCACGAAAGCGUGGGGAGCAAACAGG